ACGCUAGCUACAGGCUUAACACAUGCAAGUCGAGGGGCAGCAUGGUCUUAGCUUGCUAAGGCCGAUGGCGACCGGCGCACGGGUGAGUAACACGUAUCCAACCUGCCGUCUACUCUUGGACAGCCUUCUGAAAGGAAGAUUAAUACAAGAUGGCAUCAUGAGUCCGCAUGUUCACAUGAUUAAAGGUAUUCCGGUAGACGAUGGGGAUGCGUUCCAUUAGAUAGUAGGCGGGGUAACGGCCCACCUAGUCUUCGAUGGAUAGGGGUUCUGAGAGGAAGGUCCCCCACAUUGGAACUGAGACACGGUCCAAACUCCUACGGGAGGCAGCAGUGAGGAAUAUUGGUCAAUGGGCGAGAGCCUGAACCAGCCAAGUAGCGUGAAGGAUGACUGCCUUAUGGGUUGUAAACUUCUUUUAUAAAGGAAUAAAGUCGGGUAUGGAUACCCGUUUGCAUGUACUUUAUGAAUAAGGAUCGGCUAACUCCGUGCCAGCAGCCGCGGUAAUACGGAGGAUUCGAGCGUUAUCCGGAUUUAUUGGGUUUAAAGGGAGCGUAGAUGGAUGUUUAAGUCAGUUGUGAAAGUUUGCGGCUCAACCGUAAAAUUGCAGUUGAUACUGGAUAUCUUGAGUGCAGUUGAGGCAGGCGGAAUUCGUGGUGUAGCGGUGAAAUGCUUAGAUAUCACGAAGAACUCCGAUUGCGAAGGCAGCCUGCUAAGCUGCAACUGACAUUGAGGCUCGAAAGUGUGGGUAUCAAACAGGAUUAGAUACCCUGGUAGUCCACACGGUAAACGAUGAAUACUCGCUGUUUGCGAUAUACGGCAAGCGACCAAGCGAAAGCGUUAAGUAUUCCACCUGGGGAGUACGCCGGCAACGGUGAAACUCAAAGGAAUUGACGGGGGCCCGCACAAGCGGAGGAACAUGUGGUUUAAUUCGAUGAUACGCGAGGAACCUUACCCGGGCUUAAAUUGCAGAUGAAUUACGGUGAAAGCCGUAAGCCGCAAGGCAUUUGUGAAGGUGCUGCAUGGUUGUCGUCAGCUCGUGCCGUGAGGUGUCGGCUUAAGUGCCAUAACGAGCGCAACCCUUGUUGUCAGUUACUAACAGGUUCUGCUGAGGACUCUGACAAGACUGCCAUCGUAAGAUGUGAGGAAGGUGGGGAUGACGUCAAAUCAGCACGGCCUUUACGUCCGGGGCUACACACGUGUUACAAUGGGGGGUACAGAGGGCCGCUACCACGCGAGUGGAUGCCAAUCCCAAAAACCUCUCUCAGUUCGGACUGGAGUCUGCAACCCGACUCCACGAAGCUGGAUUCGCUAGUAAUCGCGCAUCAGCCACGGCGCGGUGAAUACGUUCCCGGGCCUUGUACACACCGCCCGUCAAGCCAUGAAAGCCGGGGGUACUAAAAGUACGUAACCGCAAGGAGCGUCCUAGGGUAAAACU
rnacentral:rRNA from 1 species